rnacentral:lncRNA from 1 species
UGGUCCACUCUACUAAUUCAGAUUUUUUUUAUUUUCCCCCUUUCUCUAUUUCUCUCUCCCUCAAUGGCAAUGCACCACCACUACCACCAUUCUUUCCCCUCUUCCUACCCUUCUUCGUGUCUUUCUCACUCCAAUUCUAUAGAAUUAUAAUUAAUUUGCAAUUCCAACCUAUAUAACUUCAGACAACCCAACUAACAUCCCAUACUAUCUUUCUAUCUUUCUCUUUCC